rnacentral:lncRNA from 1 species
UCACUUCUCUGGAAACCCUAGGUAUCAGCCGCCACCGUGUUUCUCAUUCUUCUUCCUUAUGAUUCAACUCAAACCCUAGCUAUUAGCCACUGUGAUCCUCAUUCUUCUUCAUUGUUCUGCGAUUCAAAGUCUACAAUUGAUCGGACUGAAGUUUCAUGUACUGCUAUAUCUUUUGAGUUCUUUGGAGGUUGCUUCACUUUCAGGGAAGGACAAGAAGCUUUUUGUUGAGUAAUACAUGGCUCUUAAUGAUGAUGGGUGCAGUGGCAACUGCUGCUGAUUUCAUCAGAUUGUCGGCUAUUUCUAAAGCGGUGAUUGUCUGAAUGAAUCUGAAUGAUGGUGAUUCAAAUUGGCGAUUUUUGACAUCUACAGUAAGAAUCCUCCGAUUAGGUUAAACUUGAUGCUAAACGAAACACAAAUACCAAACACUCCACCACUAUGCCAAACUACUCCGGGCAUUGCACGCCUGCAUCACCACUCACAACGUUUUUUCAGAUGAUCAUUUGAGGCAACUCUUGAUUCUUCAAACCAUCAUAAGGUGGGGGCUGAGGAUUGGGGUGAAAUGUUGAAUAUUUUUGUGGACCAGAUGAUUAAGUGGAACCGUGGCCUUGGCCUUGCAGGCCGAAUGGAGGAUGGGUGUGGGGAGUUAUUGUGAUACAGUGUGGUAGUGGCAAGAUAACACAAGGAAACACUUGUGAUUCCACAAAUAGACCAUCCAUGUGUAUUUGGUGGUGUAUAGUAUUCAACAGAAAACAAGCUCACUUUGCAAGCUAAAUGUAGGAGAUUAAAGUCCUUGGCUUCUUGUGGCUUCGGAACCGGACAAAAGUUCGAGAAUUAACAUGGGAGCUUUGGAGAGUAAUGUGAUCUAUUGUGUAUGAAAUUGUAGUUUGUUUGUAGGCUAAAGUUUUAUUUGGUAGUUGUAACAUUGUGCCAACAGUUUGUUGUUAGUAUAAUUUGGUAAUACAUAGAUUUUUUUGUUGGUCGUUAAGAAAAAUACAGGUGGGUAAAUGAGCUGGGUUGACUUACUAGCAUU